GGUACCCGUGGGGCUCCCCAGGGCGCAGCUGCGAUGUUCCUAGGAUGCUGCUGGGCCCCGGUUUGCGGCCCUCCAUGUCCUCCAUGGCCGCCACGUAGCGCCGUGCCAACUCCUGCAGCAGCGCAUCGCCCUCCAGCCCGCUGCUCAGCCCCUCGGCGGUUGCGAGGUGCAGAAUGGUGUCGUCGCUCAGCGGCCAAUCGGGGGGGCGCAGUUCGAUGCUGCUCAGCCCGCCCAGCGCGCGCAGCUCCUCGUGGAUGCGCGCUCCCGCGGUGCAGUAC
rnacentral:lncRNA from 1 species